CCGAGGGAGUGAGCCCUAUAGAAAUUGGAGGGGAAAGAGCAUCCGGCAGCAAGAAGAGCAUGUGCAAAGGGCCUGAGGCGGGAGCACGUCCGGAUCAUGUGACCCACCCAGAGCACACACUUUGUAUCACUUGCCACUGGACUGAUUGUCCUCACCAGGCCUGUCUUGGUCCAUCUCAUCCUGUGCCCUCCGGGAGGCGGGAGGGAGUGUGCUGAGCCCCCACUGCUCUCAUCUUCUCUCCCUUGAACUUGGCUCCGUGGCUGUGUUCCUGGGAGCAGGCCUCGUGUUCUCAGGGCGUGGAAGUAGCUGCACCGCACUGACAGAUCUUCCCAGCCUUCAAUCAAGGGCAGAUUGACCUGGGGCAAACCCAAGGGAGACCACAGGACGAGAGAAAUGACGGAGGAAAUGCAAGCUGGACACAUAGAUACUCCCACGUCGGAGGCCCUCUGAUAAUUUAUGGGGACAACUGGCAGGAUAAUCCAACGCCAACCCUGUUGUCGUAGGUUAUUCUCUGCCAUUUUCCUUUUUUGAAGCAAACAAAAUACAAAGCGGGUCCCCGUGUCAUAGCAGAAAGUGCCCCAAACGGCCCAUCUGAUAUGCAUACUCGGCCCAUCUGAUAUGCAUGCUCGCUUUCCUUCUCAGUAACAGAUUUGUUGAUGGACCGGGCUUGGCGCUUGAGAAACAACAUAAGCAACACAGAGUUCCUGCCCUGGGAGUGUUUCCAGUCUGCUGGGGAGACAGACAGAAAAAUCGCUUCUGUUGCUGUCACUGACGGCCCCUCCUUUUCGUGGCCCUGUGGCUGAGCAGGGGCCUCUGGGGAGACCACAGCCCAGGCCAGCCCAGUUCUCAGAGCGUCGGGAGGAUGAUGGCCGGCUCUCCUCUCUGCUGCACCCCUACCGCACCACGGGAGACUUCAGGGUCAGGUGUCACCUGAGUGUGAGCUACGACGAAAGUAACAAGAAUGGCAGGCAGCUACGGGGCAGGCACGGCUCUAAGCAGUAACGUCCAUCAGUUCACCCUCCCGGCUCCCCGUGACGUAGGUAUUCGUGGCCCCAUUUUAUAGAUGAGGACACUGAGGCCCAUUGAGGUCAAGUACGCGCCAGGUGGAGCGAGGGGGGAGUGGAAAACGAAGGUGCAAGCCCAGGGGUGUCUGACUUCAGAGCCCCGGCUUCAGAGUCAGGGACCCUGUUCGCGAAACCUUCGCCUCUCGGGGUCGGUUUUUCUCAUCCAGCACGUGGCUCACAGCCUGGAGCCCAGCCUCCCAGAGCUGUAGGGUCACAUGGGGAAGGCGUGGUGUGCUGGGAAGACCCUCAAGGCGGAAGGCUUGGCUGAACUCUGUGCCAGACCCACUGUAGGCCUCUGUUUUCUCAUCUGUCAAAUGGGGAGGUAACUCAGAGGGUCUUCUGAGAUUCUAAUGAGAAUAUAUAUGUGUGAAAGUGUUCGUAUCUUUUUUUCUUUUUUCUUUUUUUGCUUAUUUAUUUUUGAGA